AUCCUUUUGUAGUUCAUCAGCAUGAUGAUUGGGUUUGCACAUGCAUGUGUGAGAGGUGCCUCCCUCAAUCUCGUUACUACAUUGGCACAUUACCUGUCUGAUG